rnacentral:rRNA from 1 species
CGGCACGGGUGAGUAACGCGUAUGCGACCUGCCCGUUGCAGGGGGAUAAUCGGGAGAAAUCCCGUCUAAUACCGCGUAACGCCGCGGGGCUGCAUGGCCCUGCGGCCAAAGGGAGCGAUUCCGGCAACGGAUGGGCAUGCGUGACAUUAGCUAGUUGGCGGGGUAACGGCCCACCAAGGCGACGAUGCGUAGGGGUUCUGAGAGGAAGGUCCCCCACACUGGUACUGAGACACGGACCAGACUCCUACGGGAGGCAGCAG